GGGGAAUCUUAGACAAUGGGCGCAAGCCUGAUCUAGCCAUGCCGCGUGAUCGAUGAAGGCCUUAGGGUUGUAAAGAUCUUUCAGAUGGGAAGAUAAUGACUGUACCAUCAGAAGAAGCCCCGGCUAACUCCGUGCCAGCAGCCGCGGUAAUACGGAGGGGGCUAGCGUUAUUCGGAAUUACUGGGCGUAAAGCGCACGUAGGCGGAUCAGAAAGUUGGAGGUGAAAUCCCAGGGCUCAACCUUGGAACUGCCUUCAAAACUCCUGGUCUUGAGUUCGAGAGAGGUAAGUGGAAUUCCGAGUGUAGAGGUGAAAUUCGUAGAUAUUCGGAGGAACACCAGUGGCGAAGGCGGCUUACUGGCUCGAUACUGACGCUGAGGUGCGAAAGCGUGGGGAGCAAAC
rnacentral:rRNA from 1 species